GAGCUUGCUCUGGCGGAUCAGUGGCGAACGGGUGAGUAACACGUGAGUAACCUGCCCCCGACUCUGGGAUAACUGCUAGAAAUGGUAGCUAAUACCGGAUAUGACGAUUGGCCGCAUGGUCUGGUCGUGGAAAGAAUUUCGGUUGGGGAUGGACUCGCGGCCUAUCAGGUUGUUGGUGAGGUAAUGGCUCACCAAGCCUACGACGGGUAGCCGGCCUGAGAGGGUGACCGGCCACACUGGGACUGAGACACGGCCCAGACUCCUACGGGAGGCAGCAGUGGGGAAUAUUGCACAAUGGGCGAAAGCCUGAUGCAGCAACGCCGCGUGAGGGAUGACGGCCUUCGGGUUGUAAACCUCUUUUAGUAGGGAAGAAGCGAAAGUGACGGUACCUGCAGAAAAAGCACCGGCUAACUACGUGCCAGCAGCCGCGGUAAUACGUAGGGUGCAAGCGUUGUCCGGAAUUAUUGGGCGUAAAGAGCUCGUAGGCGGUUUGUCGCGUCUGCUGUGAAAUCCCGAGGCUCAACCUCGGGUCUGCAGUGGGUACGGGCAGACUAGAGUGCGGUAGGGGAGAUUGGAAUUCCUGGUGUAGCGGUGGAAUGCGCAGAUAUCAGGAGGAACACCGAUGGCGAAGGCAGAUCUCUGGGCCGUAACUGACGCUGAGGAGCGAAAGCAUGGGGAGCGAACAGGAUUAGAUACCCUGGUAGUCCAUGCCGUAAACGUUGGGAACUAGAUGUGGGGACCAUUCCACGGUCUCCGUGUCGCAGCUAACGCAUUAAGUUCCCCGCCUGGGGAGUACGGCCGCAAGGCUAAAACUCAAAGGAAUUGACGGGGGCCCGCACAAGCGGCGGAGCAUGCGGAUUAAUUCGAUGCAACGCGAAGAACCUUACCAAGGCUUGACAUAUACCGGAAACAUGCAGAAAUGUGUGCCCCGCAAGGUCGGUAUACAGGUGGUGCAUGGUUGUCGUCAGCUCGUGUCGUGAGAUGUUGGGUUAAGUCCCGCAACGAGCGCAACCCUCGUUCUAUGUUGCCAGCACGUAAUGGUGGGAACUCAUAGGAGACUGCCGGGGUCAACUCGGAGGAAGGUGGGGAUGACGUCAAAUCAUCAUGCCCCUUAUGUCUUGGGCUUCACGCAUGCUACAAUGGCCGGUACAAAGGGCUGCGAUACCGUAAGGUGGAGCGAAUCCCAAAAAGCCGGUCUCAGUUCGGAUUGAGGUCUGCAACUCGACCUCAUGAAGUCGGAGUCGCUAGUAAUCGCAGAUCAGCAACGCUGCGGUGAAUACGUUCCCGGGCCUUGUACACACCGCCCGUCAAGUCAUGAAAGUCGGUAACACCCGAAGCCAGUGGCCUAACCGCAAGGGAGGAGCUGUCGAA
rnacentral:rRNA from 1 species